UCAGAAAUAACGUUGGUAGUAUAUUAAUUUUCUGUUGUUAUAAUGUUAUCGUUUUAUAUUGUGCGCAACGCUCAUCGCGACAGCCAUGAUGUACAUGAUUAUCCUACAUACGAUGCGUGAGUGCGUAUACACGUGUGUCAAUCGAGGAGUGCGGAGUGCUCUUUAUUUACAGCAUAAUUAUAUAUAAGUAUAGCUGGUGAUGUAGGAUUCAUUUUCCGAUUUACAAGAGAGAUUUACAAAAGAGAGGAAAUAUCAAUUAAUUUUUUUACGUUCUAUAAUAGAUUUGUCCUUGGACAUUAAAAAUAUCAUCAAGGGCAAUGAAUAUGUCUUAACAUAUGGGAUCAAUUGUUGUAUCAAAUUCAAAAAACCACCAUUUGAAAAAUUUGACCCUGGCUAAGAUAAACAUCAGUGAACAAUAUAUUAUAAGGAAAACUCUGUACAAGAUACUAGAAAUGCUAAAAGAUGACCAAGAAGCUUUUACACAAGUCAGGCUAUUAGACAACAAUCCCUUGUAAUACAGAGAAAGACUUGGAACACUCUAUAAUGGAAUAGCUUAGAUUUGCAAACAUCCGUAAACAAAGGAAAAAAUCUUAAAAGCAACUGUUUGGUAAAGACCCGGAAAGAUUAAUAAUCUGUUUAAAAGGAAAGAAUAAGAGUUUGGAAAAAAAUAGUAAAAGAGUUAU